rnacentral:rRNA from 1 species
UACGAAGGGUGCAAACGUUGCUCGGAAUUAUUGGGCGUAAAGGGCGCGUAGGCGGCGCGAUAAGUCAAAGGUGAAAUCCCUCGGCUCAACUGAGGAACUGCCUUUGAGACUGUCGAGCUUGAGGCCGGGAGGGGGUAGCGGAAUUCCCAGUGUAGCGGUGAAAUGCGUAGAUAUUGGGAGGAACACCAGUGGCGAAGGCGGCUACCUGGACCGGUUCUGACGCUGAUGCGCGAAAGCGUGGGUAGCAAACAGG